rnacentral:rRNA from 1 species
GACGAACGCUGGCGGCGUGCCUAAUACAUGCAAGUAGAACGCUGAAGAGAGGAGCUUGCUCUUCUUGGAUGAGUUGCGAACGGGUGAGUAACGCGUAGGCAACCUGCCUUGUAGCGGGGGAUAACUAUUGGAAACGAUAGCUAAUACCGCAUAACAAUGGAUGACACAUGUCAUUUAUUUGAAAGGGGCAAUUGCUCCACUACAAGAUGGACCUGCGUUGUAUUAGCUAGUAGGUGAGGUAAUGGCUCACCUAGGCGACGAUACAUAGCCGACCUGAGAGGGUGAUCGGCCACACUGGGACUGAGACACGGCCCAGACUCCUACGGGAGGCAGCAGUAGGGAAUCUUCGGCAAUAGGGGCAACCCUGACCGAGCAACGCCGCGUGAGUGGAGAAGGUUUUCGGAUCGUAAAGCUCUGUUGUAAGUCAAGAACGGGUGUGAGAGUGGAAAGUUCACACUGUGACGGUAGCUUACCAGAAAGGGACGGCUAACUACGUG